AGCAGUCGCCACGGUAAUACGAAGGGGGCUAGCGUUGCUCGGAAUGACUGGGCGUAAAGGGCGCGUAGGCGGCGAUCAAAGUCAGGCGUGAAAUUCCUGGGCUCAACCUGGGGGCUGCGCUUGAUACUGGGUUGCUUGAGUGGGGAAGAGGGUCGUGGAAUUCCCAGUGUAGAGGUGAAAUUCGUAGAUAUUGGGAAGAACACCGGUGGCGAAGGCGGCGACCUGGUCCUUUACUGACGCUGAGGCGCGAAAGCGUGGGGAGCAAACAGGAUUAGAUACCCCCGUAGUCCCUGUCUCUUAUAC
rnacentral:rRNA from 1 species